CUUCUCUAACCCAUAGUAACUCUGUCUUCUCUGUCUAAGUUUCAUCAUUUUUUAUCGUCUUUCCUGCUUAUCUUUCUUUUCUUCUUUCUUAUCUUCUGCUGUCAUCGAUUCAAUCCUGAUUUCGCAUUAUAUUGAAUCAUCAUCUCGCUGUUUAUCCGCUCAAGACCAUGAUAAAGAUUUGGUUAUUUACGGAAAAGCAGAAGAUGAAGCUUUGGCCGUUAAAUAAAUUUUGUCAUUUGAAAAAUUAUUUAACCCCUUACUGGCAAGUUACAGUAUUUACUCGAUCAUAAACCAUUGCAAUGUUAAGUCUCUCUUUGUUUUACUAUUCAUGGACUCAUUUCUUUGUUUCACUUGUUUUUUUCAUCUACUUUCUAAUUAAUUAUAUUUCACUUUUGCUCUGAUAUGUCUCAUCUUAAUUUUCAUCAGAAUCUUCCCUUUCAUUUCUGGUAAUCUACAUAAAUAACAACUUGAUUCCUAACAUUAAAAGCCAAGUAUUCCUUUUCCUUUUACCUUUUUUUUACCUCCUCUGCUUCAUUUCUAUCAAGAGAUUUAACAUUUUUUUUCUUCUUCUUUUACUUUCUCUUCUUUAGCCUGUGUUAUUUUUAAUAUUACCUGUUGUAUUCCAUGACCGUUACCGUUGAAUGAGGAUCAAGGGAAAAAAUCUACUCAUUUUUUGCCUUCAAUGGAGACAUUCUUGAAGCCAGUGAAAAGGAGAAAACAAAACAAACACAUGAAAGCUAAAAGUCUUCAGAUUGAAAUAAAGGAAAGCCAACAAUGAAUAAGCCCAUCAUUUAUGCUUAUUUAAUGUACCAUGUAGAAGAGCCUCUGAUGCAGGAUAACCUCAGUGAACAAGCAAUAUCCUACAAGUUUAGUGCCAAGGAGAAAAAAAAGCCAAACGAUAUGGAAAAUAAUACCUUUAUUGACAAAGAAUAUUCAAGGUAGAAACAGAUACAGAGCAUUGGAAUUCACCCGAAACAAUCGACGAAUAAUCUUACAUGUUAAAAAAUGAUGACCGGAAAAAAGAUUAUCUAUUGAAAUGGUUGAUUUGACCAAGAAAGAUUUGACCUGACCUACAAUACUCUGUAAAAUAACCAGAUAAUAAAAUGAAUAUAAAACCACGAUUAACCUUUAAUCCCUUGGACAAGGUAAAAAAAAGUAAAAGAUAUAAAAGCAAGGAAAGUGCAAGUUAACAGAAAAGGCAAAAAGCAAGAUGUAAAGUCAAAAGGAGCCCAUUGUUAUCGCUAUUGAAGAAAAGACCAACGAAAAUGAUGAAGAUGAAGAGGCAAAUGUGAAGGAGCAAAUGUAAAAUACAAGUUAUCAUGUUAAGAAAAGGCUACACCAAGGACAAAGUUAAAUUCAUAAAUUGAUUAGAUGAGUUGAGGUAAAGAAAAAAACUGGUCAAAUGGACAUCGCAAUUCAUCACUUAAGAAGGAGAAGUAGGAUUGAUGAUUGCCAUGAUGAAGAGUAAAACGAGGAAAACUUGGUGAAGUCGUAUGAAAAUGGAGGAAUGGAAAGACAAAAAUAGACUAGAUGAUGAGUGACUUGAGGUUGGCAAAUGGAUAGUUUGGCAAAGAAGCAAGCUUCAAGUGAUCUCGAGAAUCGAAGGAUUUUUUUCUCUCUCAUCAAAGAAAAACAUGAAAACUGAUGAUAAUUUGAUCAAUUCUUGGAAAGGUGGAUAUGAUUGAAGAUAAAAGGGGAAAAAAAUCUUGAACCAGAAUAACAAAAUUCAACCUGCCAAUCAGUUAAUUGUUAAUCACGAUGACGUGAUUAUGAUGCAUCAAGUAAAGCCAAAGCUGAUUUCAUUUCGUGAUUAACAAUUUUGUAUCUCUUUUUUGCUGUUCAUUAAUCAAUAUUAACGUUACAAUGUCAACUUUAAUAGAGGUUAAUAAAGAUGGCGAGAACAACAUGAAGUUUGAUGAACAAAUGAUGAAGAGCCCAGGAAUAAAAAGGAACCCCCAAUAUGUUUAAAGCAACCUCAAAGAUUCAAAUGUUUUCCAUACAUUUUACAUUCUCUAUUUUAAAAUGGUUCAAAUCUGAUGUACAAUCAUUAUGGAAUGGAAAUGGAUGGCGACAGAGUAUCAUUCAUGGUGGAGCAAAUGAGUUAAAUCGGAAAUUUUACUUUUACAAUCAAACAAUGAAUCGUUUCUAAAUAAUGAAUUCAUUGUUAGUUUCACUUUUAUUUGAAUGUGAUAAAUGGGAAGCAAGACCAUCAACAGGAACAACAAAAUACAUUAAUAAAUCAUAUGUUUUUACAUGAUACAAUUUGAAUGAAAGACAUUUUUAUCUGAUAAAAUUUUCAUCAUUUAACUUGCCUUGUUACUCAGCCUUGAGGCCUUUUUUAUUUCACCAUUCACUCUAUUCAUGUUUUUCAAUUUUUCAAGCUUCCAUUUUUCUUGCUUACUCAUUAUUUGUAUUCAAAUUGAUAUUCAAAUUGAAGCCAAUAUUAUCAUUUGAUGAUAAUGCAGAUGAUUAAUUAGUUUCAUUUUAUCAAACUCUCUGUAAAAUAUUAACUUUUAAUGCUUAAUUGAUGUAUUGAACCUCAGCUAAUGAAACAUCAACUUUAAUGUUAGAAUCAGUGAAAUCUCUCAAAAGUGAAACUUAAUUCAAUUCUGAUUCUGUAUCAAAA